AAUUGGGGAUCCGUACCUGAUCCGAGGUCACCUGAAAAAGGAUGAUUGGUUGUCGGCUGGCGCCGGCCGGGCCUACAGAGCGGGUGACAAAGCCCCAUACGCUCGAGGACCGGACUCGGUGCCGCCGCUGCCUUUCGGACCCGUCCCCGGGGGGACGGAGCCCAACACACAAGCCGUGCUUGAGGGCAGCAAUGACGCUCGGACAGGCAUGCCCCCCGGAAUACCAGGGGGCGCAAUGUGCGUUCAAAGACUCGAUGAUUCACUGAAUUCUGCAAUUCACAUUAGUUAUCGCAUUUCGCUGCGUUCUUCAUCGAUGCCGGAACCAAGAGAUCCGUUGUUGAAAGUUUUAACUUAUUUAGUUUAUGCUCAGACUGCAAUCUUCAGACAGAGUUCAAUGGGGUCUCCGGUGCGCACGGACCCGGGGGGAGGAGGCACCCAGUGGCAGUAAGGCGGGCCGGGAACAGCCCGGAGCGAGGGAAGCUUUUUACGGGUGGAGGUCGGACCGGGGUGGGUAUCCGCGAAGAUUUAGCCGAUUGAUAGACGGAGGAAACCAAGCAAAAACGCCUUUGCACGGUUAUCCUUCCUUUUUUUUUCUUUUCGCUCUGAUUUCGUCGAUCUAUUUAUUCACC
rnacentral:misc_RNA from 1 species